rnacentral:rRNA from 1 species
GGUUGCGAUCCAUACCAGCACUAAUGCACCGGAUCCAUCAGAACUCCGCAGUUAAGCGUGCUUGGGCGAGAGUAGUACUAGGAUGGGUGACCCCAUGGGAAGUCCUCGUGUUGCAACCC